ensembl:lncRNA
UCCGAAUUGGCACCCGCUGCUGCAUUUACCUCUGCUGGUUUUGGCCAACGACAUUUCUUAUCUGCAUGUCCCAAUUACACAACAAAACGUGUUUACAUACCGAUGCGCCUCAUAUUCGAUAGCCUACACCCCCGCGCAAGCGCCCACCACUGUUCUUAUGUGCAGUCACUGGAUUCAGACUGCACGGGUGUGAAAGGAGAUGCAAUGAUGGCUACCGCUGCAGAAGAACUAUGCCAAUCCCCUUGUCCCAUUUCUGAGCGCAAUGUCACGACAGUUUCCAUCAAAAUUACGAGGAAAAACCAGGAUAAACCCUGGAAAUUGAGAUUAAUUUACCUGCAGUGUUGGAGAAUAAUUUCGAGUUAACAACAUAUACGAUUAAGUAUUGUAUGUCAAUUGCAACCAUACUGGGAACUGGAAUCUUAGGACUUCCUGUCACAAUAGCACAUGCUGGACUUGUGCCUUUCCUGGUCUCCUUUAUAAUUGGUUUCUUUGUGCAGGCUCUCCUCAUAUACCUAUUUGUUGACCUACUCCAGCGAUGCGAAGUUGCCCAAAUUGAGUCACUAAAGAGCACAGAGACUGAGCGGAUUUUAUUACAAGACAUUGGGUUGGAGGAGCCUGCUGUCACUAACACAGAAGAGGAUGAUGAUGAAGGUGACGAAGCAGACACUGGCCUACUGCAGAAGGACGCAGCCAGCUGCCAGACACCGGAGGAGAAGCUGCACCCUAAUCUCCAUGUGUUGGGAGUCCUCUUCCUCAGCAAGCCCAUGAGCCAUGCCUUCAACUUCAUCCUGCUCUUCCAGUUUGUGUCAAUUGGGAUCAGCUAUGUCCUGGCUGGCAGUGAGGCCUACGCUGUGAUUCUAGAUCUGAGCCAUAUCUACGUCAUUCCUGCCUUUACCUGGACACUCUCUCUUACAAUCCUGUUGGCUCAGAUUGUCAUUCAGCCAAUCACAUCGCUGCUGACCCUUCUGAAAGGCAUCAUGCUGAUCAUCACAGUAGCCGUGACAUUUGCUGUGGGGUCAGAGGUUCAACAGGCGACCACGAAUGACUUCAGCCAAAUUGGGAAGCCUUUCCUAAUGGGCACGGUUGCACUGGGGGGGAUUGUCAAUGUGAUGCCUCUCCUGUUUUCAGAAAUAUCCCAGAACAAGACACAGAUCAUGUGGUUCAGAAGAGUCAUAUUGGGAGGACUUGCCACAUGCGCAGUUCUGAAUAUAUUGUGGUGCUGGGCUGUUCUAGAAAUUGUCCCGCAGAUGUCUAUACAGAGGGUUUUGAAGGUUGGGGUGAACACCACCAGCGAUAUGAUGUCUGAGUCCUCUGCAACAGGCUACACCCUGAUCUUCUCCAAUAUCUCCCUGGAGGCGUCAGAAAAAGCAGGAGAAAUUGCAGCAAUCCCACUAACAAAGAUAAUCAGUCUGAAGUAUCACCACUUCUCGUGGGUAGCGGAGCUGAUCCAGAUUUUUAUUGCUGUCAGUAUAACGGUGUCCUUUCUGGUGAUGGGCUCUGCUAUGAAGCACACAAUUGAUGGCCUCGUAAACUCACACUGCAACACCAAGUUGGAAUGGAUGUCGAAGGUCUGGGAGAGGACAUUACCACAGAGCUUCCACAGAUGCAGUUCAAGAAGCUUUGCCAGUGGGCUUAUGUCUCUUCUUGCCUUCGGAAUCAUUUUUAUUGUCUCGUCCUGUGAUCCAAGUGGAUUUGUGGUGAUGUUGGACAAAGUGGUGUCCUUCUCCUUGAACACGGAGGUUGGGUUGUUCUUUUUUCUGAUGCUUCGAGCCUCCAGAUCAGAACGGUUUCAACACCUAACAGUACCUCUGCCUGUGGGCCAACUGGUAUUCCAGCUUUACUGGAUCCUGCCCAUUUACUUCCUGUUCGCUGUGGCAUACGAUGUAAUCCAGAGCAUCAUGGAGAUAGCGGAGCACAAUUUACAGCACUCUUCCCAACCUAUCCUCACCAAUUCCUCUGCUUGGAAGGAUGGAGGUUAG